GGGGAAUAUUGGACAAUGGGCGCAAGCCUGAUCCAGCCAUGCCGCGUGAGUGACGAAGGUCUUCGGAUUGUAAAGCUCUUUUGGCGGGGACGAUAAUGACGGUACCCGCAGAAUAAGCCCCGGCUAACUUCGUGCCAGCAGCCGCGGUAAUACGAAGGGGGCUAGCGUUGUUCGGAAUUACUGGGCGUAAAGCGCACGUAGGCGGAUUUGUAAGUCAGGGGUGAAAUCCCGGGGCUCAACCUCGGAACUGCCUUUGAUACUGCAAAUCUCGAGUCCGGAAGAGGUGAGUGGAAUUCCUAGUGUAGAGGUGAAAUUCGUAGAUAUUAGGAAGAACACCAGUGGCGAAGGCGGCUCACUGGUCCGGUACUGACGCUGAGGUGCGAAAGCGUGGGGAGCAAAC
rnacentral:rRNA from 1 species